rnacentral:rRNA from 1 species
AGUCGAGGGGCAGCAUAAUGGAUAGCAAUAUCUAUGGUGGCGACCGGCGCACGGGUGCGUAACGCGUAUGCAACCUACCUUUAACAGGGGGAUAACACUGAGAAAUUGGUACUAAUACCCCAUAAUAUCAUAGAAGGCAUCUUUUAUGGUUGAAAAUUCCGAUGGUUAGAGAUGGGCAUGCGUUGUAUUAGCUAGUUGGUGGGGUAACGGCUCACCAAGGCGACGAUACAUAGGGGGACUGAGAGGUUAACCCCCCACACUGGUACUGAGACACGGACCAGACUCCUACGGGAGGCAGCAGUGAGGAAUAUUGGUCAAUGGACGCAAGUCUGAACCAGCCAUGCCGCGUGCAGGAUGACGGCUCUAUGAGUUGUAAACUGCUUUUGUACGAGGGUAAACGCAGAUACGUGUAUCUGUCUGAAAGUAUCGUACGAAUAAGGAUCGGCUAACUCCGUGCCAGCAGCCGCGGUAAUACGGAGGAUUCAAGCGUUAUCCGGAUUUAUUGGGUUUAAAGGGUGCGUAGGCGGUUUGAUAAGUUAGAGGUGAAAUUUCGGGGCUCAACCCUGAACGUGCCCCUAAUACUGUUGAGCUAGAGAGUAGUUGCGGUAGGCGGAAUGUAUGGUGUAGCGGUGAAAUGCUUAGAGAUCAUACAGAACACCGAUUGCGAAGGCAGCUUACCAAACUAUAUCUGACGUUGAGGCACGAAAGCGUGGGGAGCAAACAGGAUUAGAUACCCUGGUAGUCCACGCAGUAAACGAUGAUAACUCGUUGUCGGCGAUACACAGUCGGUGACUAAGCGAAAGCGAUAAGUUAUCCACCUGGGG